GUGGUCCUACGGGGCGCAGCAGUGAGGAAUAUUGGUCAAUGGCCGAGAGGCUGAACCAGCCAAGUCGCGUGAGGGAAGACGGCCCUACGGGUUGUAAACCUCUUUUGUCGGGGAGCAAAGCGAGUCACGUGUGACUCAUUGAGAGUACCCGAAGAAAAAGCAUCGGCUAACUCCGUGCCAGCAGCCGCGGUAAUACGGAGGAUGCGAGCGUUAUCCGGAUUUAUUGGGUUUAAAGGGUGCGCAGGCGGCACGGCAAGCCGGCGGUCAAAUCGCGGGGCUCAACCCCGCCCAGCCGCCGGAACUGC
rnacentral:rRNA from 1 species